rnacentral:rRNA from 1 species
UACGUAGGGUGCAAGCGUUGUCCGGAAUUAUUGGGCGUAAAGAGCUCGUAGGCGGUCUGUCGCGUCGGCUGUGAAAACCCGGAGCUCAACUCCGGGCCUGCAGUCGAUACGGGCAGACUGGAGUUCGGCAGGGGAGACUGGAAUUCCUGGUGUAGCGGUGAAAUGCGCAGAUAUCAGGAGGAACACCAAUAGCGAAGGCAGCUCGCUGGGACGUUACUGACACUGAGAUGCGAAAGCGUGGGGAGCAAACAGG